UACGUAGGUGGCAAGCGUUGUCCGGAUUUAUUGGGCGUAAAGAGCUCGUAGGCGGCUCGUUGCGUCGGCUGUGAAAACCCGCGGCUCAACUGUGGGCUUGCAGCUGAUACGGGCGGGCUGGAGUUCGGUAGGGGAGACUGGAAUUCCUGGUGUAGCGGUGAAAUGCGCAGAUAUCAGGAGGAACACCGGUGGCGAAGGCGGGUCUCUGGGCCGAUACUGACGCUGAGGAGCGAAAGCGUGGGGAGCGAACAGG
rnacentral:rRNA from 1 species